UAUCUCUGUAGAGUCUGCAUAUCAAUAAGCGGAGGAAAAGAAACUAACUAGGAUUCCCUUAGUAACGGCGAGUGAAGCGGGAAGAGCUCAAAUUUGAAAUCUUCAAGGUUUUACCUUGACGAAUUGUAGUUUAAAGAAGUGUUUUCUGUUGGUGUUUUGGUAAAAGUUCUUUGGAAUAGGACAUCAUAGAGGGUGAGAAUCCCGUAUUUGACUAUUACUUCCAGCGUUGUGAUACACUUUCAAAGAGUCGGAUUGUUUGGGAAUGCAGUCCAAAAUGGGUGGUAAAUUUCAUCUAAAGCUAAAUAUUGGCGAGAGACCGAUAGCGAACAAGUACCGUGAGGGAAAGAUGAAAAGAACUUUGAAAAGAGAGUUAAACAGUACGUGAAAUUGUCAAAAGGGAAGCGUUUGACACCAGUGUUGUUUUCUCGAAAAUCAAUUAAAAAUGGCAUGAUUUUGUGUUGUAUUGACUUUAUCAGCUUUCUGCACUCUUUUCUUGUCUUUUUUUAAUGCACUUUUCGUUUAACAAGUCAACAUCAAUUUCUUUUGUUGUAAAAGGGUCAUUGGAAGGUGGCUUUCUUUUCGGAGAAAGUGUUUAUAGCCUUUGGCCUCUGCAAUCGGAGAGAUUGAGGUCUGCAGCGUAGAUCCUUCGGGGUUAGAUACAUUUGUGCUAAGUUAUAGCCUUUCAUAGACAACUUGUUGACUAUGAUCAGUCAUGUAGCUUACUCGCUUAUGCUAUUUUACCUACGCUUAGGAUGUUGAAGAUGUAGCACAUCAU
rnacentral:rRNA from 1 species